rnacentral:rRNA from 2 species
ACAGGGAUUCCCCUAGUAACGGCGAGUGAAGCGGGAACAGCUCAAAUUUGAAAUCUGGCCCUUGGGUCCGAGUUGUAAUUUGCAGAGGAUGCUUUUGGUGCGGUGCCUUCCGAGUUCCCUGGAACGGGACGCCUUAGAGGGUGAGAGCCCCGUACGGUUGGCCACCAAGCCUGUGUAAAGCUCCUUCGACGAGUCGAGUAGUUUGGGAAUGCUGCUCAAAAUGGGAGGUAUAUUUCUUCUAAAGCUAAAUACUGGCCAGAGACCGAUAGCGCACAAGUAGAGUGAUCGAAAGAUGAAAAGCACUUUGAAAAGAGGGUUAAAUAGCACGUGAAAUUGUUGAAAGGGAAGGAUUUAUGACCAGACUUUUUCUAGGGGGAUCAUCCGGUGUUCUCACCGGUGCACUUCCCCUAGUUGAGGCCAGCAUCGGUUUCUGUCGGGGGAUAAAAGCUUCGGGAAUGUGGCUCCCUCCGGGGAGUGUUAUAGCCCGUUGCAUAAUACCCUGACGGGGACCGAGGUUCGCGCAUUGCAAGGAUGCUGGCGUAAUGGUUAUUAAUCACCCGUCUUGAAACACGGACCAAGGAGUCGAACAUUUGUGCGAGUGUUUGGGUGUUAAACCCUCACGCGUAAUGAAAGUGAACGGAGGUGAGAGCCCUUCGGGGUGCAUCAUCGACCGAUCCUGAUGUCUUCGGAUGGAUUUGAGUAAGAGCAUAACUGUUCGGACCCGAAAGAUGGUGAACUAUGCGUGGAUAGGGUGAAGCCAGAGGAAACUCUGGUGGAGGCUCGCAGCGGUUCUGACGUGCAAAUCGAUCGUCAAAUCUGCGCAUGGGGGCGAAAGACU